rnacentral:rRNA from 1 species
UACGUAGGGCGCAAGCGUUGUCCGGAAUUAUUGGGCGUAAAGAGCUCGUAGGCGGCUUGUCACGUCGGGUGUGAAGGCCCGGGGCUUAACCCCGGGUCUGCAUUCGAUACGGGCUAGCUAGAGUGUGGUAGGGGAGAUCGGAAUUCCUGGUGUAGCGGUGAAAUGCGCAGAUAUCAGGAAGAACACCUAUGGCGAAGGCAGCUCUCUGGGACGGUACUGACGCUGAGACGCGAAAGCGUGGGGAGCGAACAGG